CCACGCCCAACCUGGGCAGGAAGCCAGGAGCAUGACACUGAGGGUUUUGUGCUGACACUGGCUGGUAUUUGGAAAUGUAACUGGUUCUGUUUUGACUCGGGUUCCAGCUCCAACUGAAGUAAAACAGCCUCAAAGCACAAUGCGGGAACCUCCAUAUUUCACUGAAGUCUGAAAACAUCCCCAUCCAUGCUUCAACGUGUGCAAUUUGACAACUUGUUGCUGAGUGUUCCUGUUCGCUAUGGACAUCUCAGAAAAAUGAUGGAGAUGGAGAAUCUCCCAAUCCAAGAGCCCAUUUUUCUUCCAUCGGCUCCUUAUACGGUGUCUUGAAAAAGCCAAGGAGGUCAUCCUUCAAAACUGGAAAUGAGAAAAACUUUGCUGCAUCACUCACUGGAACAAUUUUCGCAUAGAAAAUAAGAAGCUAAGUCAAACAAGGGGGAGAGGUCCUGCAUUUGGGUCAAUAGGCUCCAGCACUCCCCAUGACCUUUUUGAGGAUAAGCAGCAAAGAAAAUGGGUAGAUUGAUGGAUGUUUUGUACAGAUUUAAGUAACCACACGAAUAAGCAUGUAGAAGUUACCGAAUUUUUGCAAGACUAAAAAAAGAAACCAAUUGGAAAAUAAUGGAUAGUUUGCAUAUUGCAUAAUGUAACAUUAUACAUGAUUUACUGGCUUUCAGACAUGUAAAGGAAGACGGUGUUUGAAUGUUUAAGCUUUAAGAAGCUUUUAAUUUUGAAAUGUGUUUAAAUGUUCGGUGCGAGGGUUUUGGCACGGCUGCUGUAACAAGAGACGUAAAAGCCAGACUGCACAGAUGACUUGUGGGCACUCAUCUGUUAAAAUGAACACGGACGGGACAAAUGAGGGGAUGGCGGGCGGGAAAACAUGACUGGCCAAGGCUGCCACUGAUACAAGGACAAUGCCCUAUUUGGUCUGGCGCUUACACAUGGAUGAACAUGUCAAAAUUUUUCCUCGUCCACCCUUUU